rnacentral:rRNA from 1 species
AACGAACGCUGGCGGCAUGCCUAACAUAUGCAAGUCGAACGAGACCUUCGGGUCUAGUGGCGCACGGGUGCGUAACGCGUGGGAACCUGCCCUUAGGUUCGGAAUAACUCCCCGAAAGGGGUGCUAAUACCGGAUAAUGUCUUCGGACCAAAGAUUUAUCGCCUUUGGAUGGGCCCGCGUUGGAUUAGCUAGUUGGUAGGGUAAAAGCCUACCAAGGCGACGAUCCAUAGCUGGUCUGAGAGGAUGAUCAGCCACACUGGGACUGAGACACGGCCCAGACUCCUACGGGAGGCGGCAGUGGGGAAUAUUGGACAAUGGGCGAAAGCCUGAUCCAGCAAUGCCGCGUGAGUGAUGAAGGCCUUAGGGUUGUAAAGCUCUUUUACCCGGGAUGAUAAUGACAGUACCGGGAGAAUAAGCUCCGGCUAACUCCGUG